UUUUAGACUCCCUCCACCGCUCAGACCAAAAAUUAGAACUCCCUCCUCCCUCAUUUCUCCCUCACUCCUCCUAUAUAAACCCUAGUAUUGCAAUUUCCUCUCUCCCUCUCCCUCUUAUCGAUAUGGCGCAGAUCGCUAGUCGUCGUAGCUUGCGACUCCCUCAUCUCGGCUCUCGAUUGGAAGCCACUGGUCUCCAACGAAUCUUUCGAGGAGUUCAGCAACCUCUAUCUCCAAACAAAAUUCAGCAAGGUCCUUUCGAUUUUUCUCUCAUUUUUGUUAUUUACUGCUUUUUUAUUAAUGCGGAUUGUAGAUCUAGGGUUUAUCAUAUAUCUGGUGCUCUAAGAAAUAGUUUGAUUUGUGGUUGAGUUUUGAUUGACUGAAACAAGAGCCAUGUGUUGAGUUGGGUUUUAUUUAUUGAGAUUUAGGGUAUGUCUCAUGGUUUUGGUAUUUAGCAUUAGCACUACUUCUUACUGCUUUUUCAGAGUACUUUGCUAUUUGUCUUCGAUGUUUCUCUGUUGUGCCAUGUUUGUCCAGUCUGAAUUUCGCAUUUUGUGAAUUAGAGUUGCUGUUUGAUUAGCUGUGCCUUUCUUGUCUUGAUGGUAGUAGUGAUGAUUGGUAUGCUAUAUGCUGUUGUGUGAAGGAAAAAUUUAGUCUCAUGUGGGUAGAUACUGAUAAUAAACUAGAAACAUAGACUCAUAGAAGCAUAGACAUAUAUCUAUUACCAACUUGACUGUAGAAAAUUUUAUUUGAAGUACCUUUUUCUUGAUAAGUAAAGCAAAAAAAGAUGUAGAACUAGCCUAUGCUUUCUAAGUAAACUCAUAACCACUCAGUAUCACUAUGCGGUUUGCUCUGUUAAUUUCUUUUCCGUUAGUUUUCUUUAGGCUUUAACUGGUAUAAAAAUUUCUAAUAGAGUUGCUGCUCUGGUAUUAAUGCAAUUAGCUUUUUUUUCCUUGUAGCUUCAUUGACAGAUGAGCCAAUAUUUGAUGAUAUAGGUCCAGCUUCAUUAGUCGGUCCUAAAUUUUUAUUAGUUGCUUCAUAACUACUUUUUAGUACAAUUUUGUAUGCAGCAACGAAAUGGAGUGACUUUUGAGGUGAUGGUGAAGGGAAAACAAGAUGGAAAAGUAGCUUCCGCAGGAAAGCAGGUGACAAGAACGUGGUAAAGGAAUUUGAACAUUGGCAUUGAAGGCUCAAGAUAUAAGAAGUAUGUCCCAUCACCUGACAGCCCAAAGAGGAUCACCAAUUGGAAGUAACACCGUAUAUUCAUGCGAGUGCUCGAUUAACAUUUUUUUAGAAUUGGUUCUUAGUUAUUUCCCUUUUAUUCAGUGGAUGUAAAGUACUACGCGAAAUUUUAAUAUAUUUUAUGAUAUAAUUUUGAAGUGCUUAAGUUAUUUAUAUACAA